CACGCAAACACACACACACACACACACACACACACUGGGUUCAGGUACUCGUACAUUCAGAAUCACACCGAUACUGGACCCAGAUGGUUCCAUGGAUUGUCGUUGAUGUUUAACAUCGGAGGAAACCGGAGUACCGGAAGAAACCCACACAGGCACGGGGAGAACAUGCAAGCUCCACACAGGCGCGGCCGGGAUCGAACUCAGAUCCUCAGAACUCCAAGACAAACAUCGGCUGCGCGUUUCAUCUCACCUCCCACGACGAAUGCAGGGGGGGGAAAAAACUGAAGGCGUAUGAAAAAUGCUGUGAGUUGUUUAUGCCGCUCCAGACAAUCUGAUGAGGACUACGAGGCGGUGGCGCGUUACGCAACGACUGCACAUCGGGGAGCGGCUCUGCGGCUCCAAGAAGAUUGAUUUCGGCUUCGUUGAACAUUAUUAAAGAUGUCUUCCAUUUCAGGUUCAGCGGAAAGAUAAUUGGAUGCUUGCAUACGGAUCAUGUUCAGGAAAAGAAAACCAUCCAACAAAUCAAAGGUUUGAUAUUUCUUCCCAAGCUAAGUGGAUUGAUAUUUCACGCUUGAGUUUAUGAACGGCACCUUACACAAAAAUGAUAGAUAUCAACAUUUCGUUCGGUCCAAGUUAAAAGGUAAUUGAUAGUUGACCUUUAUAUAGUGAUACACUAUCAUAACAGAAAUUGAUCAAUCACAAUAGCGCUAUUUUUUUUCUAGGCUUGG